AUUGAACGCUGGCGGCAGGCCUAACACAUGCAAGUCGAGCGAGCGGCGGGCGGGGGAGUAAUGUAUGGGGACUGCCCGAUAGAGGGGGAUAACAACAGGAAACGGUAGCUAAUACCGCAUACUAUCGGAUAACCCAUAUGGGAGUAGCUAGUAGGUGAGGUAAUGGCUCACCUAGGCGACGAUCCCUAGCUGGUCUGAGAGGAUGAUCAGCCACACUGGGACUGAGACACGGCCCAGACUCCUACGGAGGCAGCAGUGGGGAAGAUUGCACAAUGGGCGCAAGCCUGAUGCAGCCAUGCCGCGUGUAUGAAGAAGGCCCUAGGGUUGUAAAGUACUUUCAGUCGGGAGGCGUUACCGGCAGAAGAAGCACCGGCUAACUCCGUGCCAGCAGCCGCGGUAAUUC
rnacentral:rRNA from 1 species